UGGAAGUAAAAGUCGUAACAAGGUUUCCGUAGGUGAACCUGCGGAAGGAUCAUUAGUGAAUUAUAGGGCGUCUACUUGUAGAGCCUGACCUCCACUUCUAACACUGUGCACUUGAUGGCGAGGUAAUGGAACUUUCGAGUGAAACUACCUUGCGGCUUCAUUUUAAACAUUAGUCAAAGUAUGUAAUGAAAUAAAAAACAAAAAAAAACUUUCAACAACGGAUCUCUUGGCUCUCGCAUCGAUGAAGAACGCAGCGAAAUGUGAUAAGUAAUGUGAAUUGCAGAAUUCAGUGAAUCAUCGAAUCUUUGAACGCACCUUGCGCUCCCUGGUAUUCCGGGGAGCAUGCCUGUUUGAGUGUCAUGAACUCUUCAACCCACCAGUUUCUAGUAGACUGCGUUGGUGUUUGGAUUUUGAGCGUUGCUAGUCUGACUAGCUCGUUCGUAAUAUAUUAGCAUCUCUAAUUCGAAUUCGGAUUGACUCAGUGUAAUAGACUAUUCGCUGAGGACACUUUUAUUAGUGGCCGUACUAGAACCAGUAGAAGCUUCCAACUAUUGUAGUCAACUUUAAUUUAGACCUCAGAUCAGGCAGGAUUACCCGCUGAACUUAAGCAUAUCAAUAAGCGGAGGA
rnacentral:misc_RNA from 1 species